UCGCUACUACCGAUUGAAUGGCUUAGUGAGCUCUAGGGACCGAGGCCGCGGUUGGGUUUCCUUCCGUGCGUCUUGCGGAACUAGAUCAAACUUGAUCAUUUAGAGGAAGUAA
rnacentral:rRNA from 1 species